rnacentral:rRNA from 1 species
GACGAACGCUGGCGGCGUGCCUAUACAUGCAAGUAGAACGCUGAAGGAGGAGCUUGCUUCUCUGGAUGAGUUGCGAACGGGGGAGUAACGCGUAGGUAACCUGCCUGGUAGCGGGGGAUAACUAUUGGAAACGAUAGCUAAUACCGCAUAAUAGUAGAUGUUGCAUGACAUUUGCUUAAAAGGUGCAAUUGCAUCACUACCAGAUGGACCUGCGUUGUAUUAGCUAGUUGGUGAGGUAACGGCGCACCAAGGCAACGAUACAUAGCCGACCUGAGAGGGUGAUCGGCCACCCUGGGACUGAGACCCGGCCCAGACUCCUACGGGAGGCAGCAGUAGGGAAUCUUCGGCAAUGGACGGAAGUCUGACCGAGCAACGCCGCGUGAGUGAAGAAGGUUUUCGGAUCGUAAAGCUCUGUUGUAAGAGAAGAACGAGUGUGAGAGUGGAAAGUUCACACUGUGACGGUAUCUUACCAGAAAGCGACGGCUAACUACGUG